rnacentral:rRNA from 1 species
UACGUAGGGUGCGAGCGUUGUCCGGAAUUAUUGGGCGUAAAGGGCUCGUAGGCGGUUUGUCGCGUCGGGAGUGAAAACCAGGUGCUUAACACCUGGCUUGGCUUUCGAUACGGGCAGACUAGAGGUAUUCAGGGGAGAACGGAAAUUCCUGGUGUAGCGGUGGAAAUGCGCAGAUAUCAGGAGGAACACCGGUGGCGAAGGCGGUUCUCUGGGAAUGACCUGACGCUGAGGAGCGAAAGUGUGGGGAGCGAACAGG